AGUUCUGGCGGGAGAGCUAUGUAGGGCAGGAUUCGUGACUGUCGAACUGUAGACAGAAACUUCUCUGCAGGCUAGCUAGGAUGUCGGUCAGCAGGGAAACAAAAGGACUUCCGGAAGGAGAAGAAAAACAGAAGAAUGUCAACAGCGAGCUUGAAACGAAUCUGAGUGAACAGAAAUAACUGACCACUUAAGCCUUGACGUACGUAAAGUAAUAAACAUUUGAUAAAUGUAUUCUCGUCUCUACUAGUUUCUUUGCGUAUAGCUUAACGAAGCUAUACCAUCACAUUCUUUUCCCCAAUAUAGUAUAUUUAGGACAUUGUCCAUGCUUUUUUUUUUUCCAAACCAGCAGGAUAUAGUUCGAAGGACAUUUAGCUGAUAUUUCUGGCAUGUCUCCCUUUCUGACUCAUUUCAACAGUGUAUAUUAAACUAAUAGCUCAUUCAAUGUGCAUUAUCUAUUUUAGACUACGCUGCUAAGUCCAAAGUUACACUGCCCGCCACCAUCACCACCAUCACACAUGCUUACGUAGACUUUGCGCGCACCUGCACACAAACACGCUCUCAGGAAAUGUAAGCGGUAAAAUAAUCUCCAUGUACACUUAGAAAUAUUCUUCUGCUCGUGUAUGCCCUGACCUUUUUCAAAUACUACCUUCAAUUACGAGCAUGGACCGACUUGCUGUCCAGUAUAAACUCCGUGGAGCUUUACUAAAAACUAACGAUAAUAAUAAUACUCAGCCGCCACAAUCGAAAAUGAACGAUUCUGAAGCAGAAUCGCAACAGAGAACUGUCGGAGAAAAUACAGAUACUUCAAAACCAGG
rnacentral:lncRNA from 1 species